GAGAGAGUACUGUUCAUAGCGCGAGUACAAUUGUUCUUUUGUAACUUCACGUACUUUCAAAAUUUAUUUUUUUAUUUAUUCUUUGGAUACGACCUAAAGACCUAGAAAAAUCUGCCAUAGGAGUUCUUAAUAUGCAUGUAAAUGUACGAUGUCUUUACAUUUGACAAAUAAUUUGAUAAAAUAAACUAUUUAGAUCUAUAUGUACAUAGUGUCAUUGAAUUUGUGUUUAAGAAAACUUCCAUAAUGUAGUAAAUCUAAAAUUUUAUUGUGAUUUUAAAUAAAAAUAACCACGACGAUUACUCCUUUGCAUAAUACUUCCUCUCUGUUUCUAAAACGUUUUUACGACAAGUUAGUUCAUAUCCAAAAUUUCAUAUAUUUUAAAACAGAUUAUAUGACAAAACAGCUUUCAAAGAUAUAUGUGCUUAGUAGACAUGCAUCAAAUGUCGUUUUUUAGUGAUCGGAGUUGGAAAAUACUCAAGCAUCGACCAGAACAUUGCAAUUAAGAAAUAGAUGAGUUUGACUAUAUGCCUGCCACAUGAUAUCAAAUAAAAUCUUCCGAUCCUCAUGUCUUGCAGACAAAUCAAUCUCCC
rnacentral:lncRNA from 1 species